rnacentral:rRNA from 1 species
AUUGAACGCUGGCGGCAGGCCUAACACAUGCAAGUCGAGCGGAGCGGCGGACGGGUGAGUAAUGCCUAGGAAUUUGCCUGGUAUCGGGGGAUAACGUCCGGAAAGGGGCGCUAAUACCGCAUACUAUCAGAUCAGCCUAGGUCGGAUUAGCUAGUUGGUGGGGUAAAGGCCUACCAAGGCGACGACCCGUAACUGUGUUGAGAGGAUGAUCAGUCACACUGUGACUGAGACAAGGUCCAGACUCAUACGGGAGGCAGCAGUGGGGAAUAUUGGACAAUGGGCGAAAGCCUGAUCCAGCCAUGCCGCGUGUGUGAAGAAGGUCUUCGGAUUGUGAAGCACUUUAAGUUGGGAGGCGUUACCAACAGAAUAAGCACCGGCUAACUUCGUGCCAGCAGCCGCGGUAAUAC